rnacentral:rRNA from 1 species
GGAAUAUUGCACAAUGGAGGAAACUCUGAUGCAGCGACGCCGCGUGAGUGACGAAGGCCUUCGGGUUGUAAAGCUCUGUUCUCUGGGAAAAAGAAAGUGAUUGUACCAGCGAAGAAAGGACCGGCUAACCUCGUGGCAGCAGCCGCGGUAAGACGAGGGGUCCAAGCGUUGUUCGGAAUUAUUGGGCGUAAAGCGGGUGUAGGUGGCUCUAUAAGUCAGGAGUGAAAUCCCCAAGCUUAACUUGGGAAGUGCUUUUGAUACUGCAGAGCUUGAAUGUGGGAGAGGAUAAUAGAAUUCCAGGUGUAGUGGUGAAAUACGUAGAUAUCUGGAGGAAUACCGGUGGCGAAGGCGGUUAUCUGGCCCAACAUUGACACUGAGACCCGAAAGCGUGGGGAUCAA